UAGCGCGCGUUAUACGCACACUGAUAAGGCAUAAAUAGCAGUAUACAUGAUACGAUUUUCUAUUUGGGUCAAUUUUAUGAAACCUUUAUCCUAAAAUUCUCAGUGAUCCGAUUAAAAUAAUCUUAUAAAUGAUAAAACGAACAAAAAGUAUGUAUCAUUAACGACUACAUCACGUACGAUAGAUAAUGAUUCGAAAUUUGAUAGGAAUGACUGGGGUUGUUUUAGGAUAAUUAAGAAAACAAAGAAAACAAUUUAUGACUAAGGAAAAUUUAAUGAUAAAAUUAAAAAUCUUUUCGAGUAUCUGGACAUCGUGGAAAAAGGAAUGAAAGCGAUAUACAAUUAAACAAGAUGCAAUGGUGUACCAUUGGUUUGAAGAGUAAGAAACAGGACUGCCAUAGAAAAGAACCAUUUUCCAGUAAUUUAAAAAAUGGUUCAAUUUUAUGGGUAGAUUAGCUGAACGACGAAAUUUUAUGCGGAAGUAAUUGUAACAGAACUCGAAUAGAAUUGAGGGUAGCAACGCCACCGUGAAGAACUCGAAGACUCAAUUUUCCAGACAUCUCAGCGGUGGUUGCAGUCGCGCUUC